GUAUGCUGCAUGUAUUUGGAAUCUAAGUUGGCUAGCUGAAUUCUAAAUUACCUUGCUGAAUUCUGCUGGCUGAAAAUUCCAUAGAAGUCCCUUCUCUGUAUUGCCCAGCUGAAUUCCCAAUUGCCUAGCAGAAUCCUGUGUUCCUAAUUCAGGUCUGCAGAAUCUGAAUUGCACUAUCAGACUAAGAAUAGGUAAAGAAAAAGGGUUUCUUAAUUUUGCAAUAGCUUCCUUUUUAUAUGAAACAAUAUAUGUCAGUUUGCUUUCCAGGUUUCAAAAUCUAGGUUCUGAAUUCAGAAUACGAACUCUGGACAAAGGAUAUUUAUUUUCCUUAUAUUCUCCAUAGAAUUCCAAAUUGCAAAGCUUAAUCCUGAAUUCCCGUGCUAUGAUGAUCUCCUCCUUGAAUAUCAAAUAAUUGCGGUGAUUGAGACGGGCGCAACCCUCCUUCGUUGCUGAUGGGGUACGUUGGAUGGCCUAUUCUAUAGGCAACCAGUUCCUCAUAUUUGUGCUGAAAUGCUUGUAGUUCUUAUACAACUAGCACUACUAACUAACAAGACUUCGGUGCCAAACUAAUGAUGUUUGAUUUUAUGGAGAAUCUGAGCACAGAAUAUUUGUUUCCCUUCUAUUCAUCGUGGAAUUCCGAGUUGCCUACUUGAAUUCUCAAUUCUCUAGCUUAAUUCUAAAUUCAGAAAUUAGAAGGCAUGAUUCAGAAUCACAGUAAAGUGCUUGGUGCAUAUAAAAGUUUCGAUUUGGGAAUUAUGGCCUGAUUUGCAUAAGGGUAUUUGGUGCAUAUGAAAGGUUCAAAUUUAGCAAUCUAAAUUGCGGCGGCGGUGUUCCAAAAUUUUGAAUUCUGCAUUCUUAAAGGUUAAAAUUGCAUAUGAAAACUUGGGGUGCAAAAUUUUGAAUUCUGUAUUUGCAGUUUUGGAUAUUGUCUUGCAUCGACAACAUUUUAGAAUUCAAGAUUCAAAGGUUAAAAGGGUUUGAGUCUGCCUGCAACUGCUCAUUUGAGUAUUGGUAUUUAUCACAAUUCCUGAUUAUUGGUGGCUCCAAAAGAUAUUGAAUUUGUGUACAAUUUUUCUCUGUUCAAAUUCCUAUGACUCAAUUAUUUAUACUGUUGGUUGUGGACUGAGCAUUAAAGAAAGAUAUUGGACCUUUUCCAUGCAUGAAUCUAUACAUAUAUAUUGAUAUA